rnacentral:rRNA from 1 species
CAGUCGCCACGGGAAUACGCAGGGGGCUAGCGUUGCCCGGAAUUACUGGGCGUAAAGGGAGCGUAGGCGGGUCGUUUAGUCAGAGGUGAAAUCCCGGGGCUCAACCUCGGAACUGCCUUUGAUACUGGCGACCUUGAGUAUGGGAGAGGUAAGCGGAACUCCGAGUGUAGAGGUGAAAUUCGUAGAUAUUCGGAAGAACACCAGUGGCGAAGGCGGCUUACUGGCCCAUUACUGACGCUGAGGCUCGAAAGCGUGGGGAGCAAACAGGAUUAGAUACCCCUGUAGUCCCUGUCUCUUAUAC